rnacentral:rRNA from 1 species
ACCGGAUAGGACCUUUAGGCGCAUGUCUUUAGGUGGAAAGCUUUUGCGGUGUGGGAUGGGCCCGCGGCCUAUCAGCUUGUUGGUGGGGUGAUGGCCUACCAAGGCGACGACGGGUAGCCGGCCUGAGAGGGUGUCCGGCCACACUGGGACUGAGAUACGGCCCAGACUCCUACGGGAGGCAGCAGUGGGGAAUAUUGCACAAUGGGCGCAAGCCUGAUGCAGCGACGCCGCGUGGGGGAUGACGGCCUUCGGGUUGUAAACCUCUUUCACCAUCGACGAAGGUCCGGGUUUUCUCGGAUUGACGGUAGGUGGAGAAGAAGCACCGGCCAACUACGUGCCAGCAGCCGCGGUAAUACGUAGGGUGCGAGCGUUGUCCGGAAUUACUGGGCGUAAAGAGCUCGUAGGUGGUUUGUCGCGUUGUUCGUGAAAUCUCACGGCUUAACUGUGAGCGUGCGGGCGAUACGGGCAGACUAGAGUACUGCAGGGGAGACUGGAAUUCCUGGUGUAGCGGUGGAAUGCGCAGAUAUCAGGAGGAACACCGGUGGCGAAGGCGGGUCUCUGGGCAGUAACUGACGCUGAGGAGCGAAAGCGUGGGGAGCGAACAGGAUUAGAUACCCUGGUAGUCCACGCCGUAAACGGUGGGUACUAGGUGUGGGUUUCCUUCCUUGGGAUCCGUGCCGUAGCUAACGCAUUAAGUACCCCGCCUGGGGAGUACGGCCGCAAGGCUAAAACUCAAAGGAAUUGACGGGGGCCCGCACAAGCGGCGGAGCAUGUGGAUUAAUUCGAUGCAACGCGAAGAACCUUACCUGGGUUUGACAUGCACAGGACGCGUCUAGAGAUAGGCGUUCCCUUGUGGCCUGUGUGCAGGUGGUGCAUGGCUGUCGUCAGCUCGUGUCGUGAGAUGUUGGGUUAAGUCCCGCAACGAGCGCAACCCUUGUCUCAUGUUGCCAGCGGGUAAUGCCGGGGACUCGUGAGAGACUGCCGGGGUCAACUCGGAGGAAGGUGGGGAUGACGUCAAGUCAUCAUGCCCCUUAUGUCCAGGGCUUCACACAUGCUACAAUGGCCGGUACAAAGGGCUGCGAUGCCGCAAGGUUAAGCGAAUCCUUUUAAAGCCGGUCUCAGUUCGGAUUGGGGUCUGCAACUCGACCCCAUGAAGUCGGAGUCGCUAGUAAUCGCAGAUCAGCAACGCUGCGGUGAAUACGUUCCCGGGCCUUGUACACACCGCCCGUCACGUCAUGAAAGUCGGUAACACCCGAAGCCAGUGGCCUAACC